rnacentral:lncRNA from 1 species
CCGGGGACCGGCCUCCGCCGCGGGCUCUGCCCGCUCGCCUGCUCGCCUGGUGGGGGAGAGGGGAGCGGGGCCGACACAGGGUUCCUGACCAAGCUGGUGCUUCUGCGUGUGUUCCUGCAUGACUUGGUGUGUCCCCUUCUCUUGGAUCUACUGCAGUUGACAGCAGAUAACUGAAAGCUCGGAAAGCGAAACCGUGGAUAAGCAGGGGAACUGUGGCAUCCCAUUUAAAAUUGCUUCUGAAGAGAAGCAUGAGGUUACAUCUGUAAUCUCCCUGCAGCAGAGUCAACUGCAUAAGAAACCAAAAGACACACCUGCUCCAUGCCAGCCUAAGCCACCACAUAAAAAGUCAGACCAUCUGCUGGAAGAACCACAUGGAGAGGCCCUGAGUCAACAUGGAGAGGAAGAAGGACUUGACUGAAUCCAGCCUUCCAGCUGUCCCUACCAAGGUGCCAGGCAUGAGAAUGAAGCUGUCUUGAACUCUGAAGACCAGCUUA